CACCUGGCAUAUGAUGUUGGUCAUUGUCAUUCGUACAAGCCUUGGUAAGCUUGGCCGGGAUUCCAAAAGAGCUCAUUGCGUCGUACAGUUUUACCCUGGCUAAUGCUGUCAUAUGCGGCUUUAAAGUCAAUGAAGUCGUUUAAAAUCGUGAAGAUCUAAAAUAAACGAUAACUCGCGUGAGAAAGGAGGUCCAUUAACGCUUUCUUUUAUUUUUUCCAACAGGUGGUUCGUACAGAGAAGCUUCUUGCUAGGCGGGCGAUCCAUUUUCAUAAUAUUGUGAAAUCUUCCAUCAUGACCACCAAGUCAUCGUAUACUUCUGUUUUUAGGUUGGGAGCGCCAUUUCACCGGGAAAGGUAGUAUUUUUGCAGGUAUUACUAUUGAGUGAAUAUAUCACAAUGCUAUUCAAAUGAUAAAUGCUUACGUUUCAAUAAAGUUGAUUUGUUAAAAUA